AACGAACGCUGGCGGCAUGCCUAACACAUGCAAGUCGAACGAGAUCUUCGGGUCUAGUGGCGCACGGGUGCGUAACGCGUGGGAAUCUGCCCUUUGGUUCGGAAUAACAGUUGGAAACGACUGCUAAUACCGGAUGAUGACGAAAGUCCAAAGAUUUAUCGCCAGAGGAUGAGCCCGCGUAGGAUUAGCUAGUUAGUGUGGUAAAGGCGCACCAAGGCGACGAUCCUUAGCUGGUCUGAGAGGAUGAUCAGCCACACUGGGACUGAGACACGGCCCAGACUCCUACGGGAGGCAGCAGUGGGGAAUAUUGGACAAUGGGCGAAAGCCUGAUCCAGCCAUGCCGCGUGAGUGAUGAAGGCCCUAGGGUUGUAAAGCUCUUUCACCGGUGAAGAUAAUGACGGUAACCGGAGAAGAAGCCCCGGCUAACUUCGUGCCAGCCGCCGCGGUAA
rnacentral:rRNA from 1 species